AAAGGCUUAAGUUAGCAAAAACUAAAAGCCUUCAAAGCUUUAAACGGUAUACACAUUCCAGCCUUUA
rnacentral:tRNA from 1 species